rnacentral:rRNA from 1 species
UUCCAUAGUUAGCCUAAAGGCUCCAGAUCCUAUCUGAUCUUUGAAACUAAACAGGUUCAGCCCUGGUUUGUACUUGGAUGGGGGACUGCCAACAAAGGCCAGGUGCUGUAGGCU